AUCUCGAACUUGUCGAGGCUUCCGUAAAACUCGAGCACCGGACGGGCGAUCAGCUCAUAAGCAUAAUAUCCGAGAAGCCAGCCGGCGACGCCGCCGAGCACAGAUCCCACGGUCGCGAUGAGU
rnacentral:misc_RNA from 1 species